GUCAACUACUAAAUCUAUAGAUACCAUGUAAACUAGGCCUUUUCCCUAAAUUCCAAACUUCUAAUCUGAAACUCCAGUUUUCUUUAAGGUGGGAAUGUAAAGAUACACUUGGCCCACAAGCAUCUCAAAAUCAGUAUGUCACAUAUCAAAAUUAACCAAACUUUUCUUUUUUCUUCUCUCUUCUUUUUUGUACUGGGGAUUAAACUCAAUGAUGCUCUACAACUGAGCUACACCCCAGCCCUUUUUAUUUUUCAUUUUAAGACAGGAUCUCGCCAAAUUGCUUAGGGUGUUGCUAAAUAGCUGAGGCUGGCCUCAAACAUGCAGUCCUCCUACCUGUGACUCCUGAGUCACUGAGAUUACAGGCAUGCCCCAUAGUUCUAUUUUCUUUCUCUCUCAGUCAAUGUUACCAUCAGCCAACUAGCUCAGCUGCCCACAAUAGAAAUCUAGGAAUCAUGCUAUUAUACCAUAUCCAUAUUGAAAGGCUAUCCAUAUAGAAAGGGUCCUAAGCCUCUUUAGUCUUACCUCCAACUUUUUCCAUCCUUCCUUACUCUUUUCCAGCAAUAUAGAUAUUGAACUUACUGGCCUUUCCUGCUUAGGACAUUAACAUAUGGCCUCCUCCUUUGCCUGGGAUGUUCUUCCUCCCUUUUUGGCCAAGCCAAUUCCUCUUUGUCCUUUCAAGUCUGUGCUUAGCCAUCCCACUUUAAGAAGGCCUUAUUUAAAUAUCUAGUGUUAGGUGUAUGCUUUCACAGCAUCUUGUAUUUUUCUGUUACUUGUAAUUGGUAUUAUUAUUAAUUAAUUUAAUAUGUCUCUUUAAUGAGACUGGACCAUAGAGAAGAAACUAUGGCUGUUUUAUUCACCCCACAUUCUCAGUGCCUAGCAAAGACUACAGUGUACAGGCACACAUUAGGUGCUAAAAGUUAACGUGAGAAUACUUACAUGAGUACUGAAUAAAUAAAUCCAAUCUCUUUUAUACCUCAUUUCAUUCACUUGCUACUUUUUCUAGUUCAUGUACUCAUUAUUUCUUGCCUGGAUACUAUAAUAGCUUCCAAAAGACUCCCUACCACCUCUC
rnacentral:lncRNA from 1 species